AAUCGGGAGCUUGCCUCCAACAAAACCUCUAGGAAUGUGUGGAUUGCAGAAAAGACUAAGGCUUGCAUGAUCUGACCCCUGGGUGCUGUGGCAGUACGCAAUAUCUUGGCGUCUGUGUCGGUGAUAGUUAUGGGAACAGAGUUUCAAUACCCACAGAGUGUUCUUCAAAACCUCUGAAAGAAGAAAAAAACCUACUGUUAUGUCCGUUGGGAGGAUCUUUGGUGCUCAGUGUAGAGGGACAUUAAGACCACAACCUUCGAAAGAAAGUGACAAAAGGAAACACCCCAGAAGAGAGUCAGCAGAAGCAACAAAAAUUCACUUGUGAAUUGCAACUUUAGUGAUGUACUGACUCUUCAAAUGGCAUAUUUUUACCUGAAUAUUCACAUUGUCUAAAUUUCACAUUAUCUUCUUUGAUGGUCCAGUCCCUUCGAUUGAUUGCUGUGGAUCUAUCCAGUCUAACUUUGAGAAGAGACAUUUUGAUUGACAUUUUUAUUGUGAAAAUCAUACUACUGGAUACUGCCCCCGCUCCUGACAGCCAAGCAUGCAUCUUCAUCCCAUUGCCCUGUGAUAUGCCACAGACUGGGAGAGGAAAAGCUGUAAUGAUGGGACAAUAGUGAUGGCUGUUUUAACACCUUUGGGAUGCCAUCUGUCUGUGGCUUAAGUGCAAGUGUUCCUGGGGAUGACAGCACACACCUGAAUAAAGUACCUAUUGAUUUAACACAGCAAUUUCCUACCUAACAGAAAAUUAGGACACCUUCCUAUGUAGGAAAGUAUUUAAACACAAGCUUCAUUUUAAUUUAAUUUUAAGCAUGUUUAAUACAUUCCUGAAUCAGGGCCACUUAGGUAAUUGUGUGGCAUAAUUGCAACAGCCUACUUUAAAAGUGCUGUGUAGCACCACAGAAAUGUAAUUCCCAGUGUCUGUUUAAGGAGGUGAUCUAUAGCUUAAUGUUAGUAUAAUCGUCAUUUGAUUCAGCAGUUGCUUAGAUUGUAACAUUGUAACAGUGUUAAAAAAGAUAAAUAAAUACAUAAAAUAGCAUAGUGUAAAUUCCUCUUAAAUUACCACUCCCUCCCUCUAUGCAUAAUGCAUCAAAUGUACUUAGCACCAGUGAACCGGAUAACACUUUUUUAGAUGACUCACUAUCUUCAUGUUGGAGUCACAUUCCAUUGCAGAGAAUAAAAUGUGUUACCCUUGGGAGCAAAGAGAUUUGAAGGGGAAAAAAUCUGAGGGAAUAACUUCACAUCCAUUAUUUGAGAUGGUUCUUGUGCUGGGUUUGCGUGGACUGGUUUCAGUAGCAGGGGGGCUACUGGGGUUGCCUCUGUGAGAAGCUGCCAGAAACUUCCCUAUGUCCAGUGGGGUCAACGUUAGACAGCUCCAAAACGACCAAGGUAGUAGUGCCUCCGGGAUGAUGUGUUUAACAAGGCAAAAAAGUUACUGCUCAGAAACCUUUGCAACUCGACAGCCCUGCAGACACCCAGGUCAGUGCAGA